AGGUGGAGGACAUUCUGGCGGCAACAUUCGUCACCCCACUAAUCGCCAGGGUUGAUUCAGCUAUCUGGCUGGCUAGGUGGGUGUCCCCUUCCUCCCUCAUCACUCAAUGUGCCUCCCUCCCAAAGCUGCAUGCUCGGUCAAGAGGACGACCACCCCCAUAGAGGAGGACCGUUUCCUCAGUCAAGGGUAUACGAGUAGCUGCGCUCCCCUGCUAGAACCUCCAAACAAGCUCUCAGAAACUGGUGUUCAAGAGACUCAGAAGAAUUAAACCAAUUUCACUAGAGCUGUUUCUCUUUUUUAAAAAAAAGGUUGUAAGUCUUAGUUUACUGU
rfam:Fukomys damarensis contig90583, whole genome shotgun sequence.